rnacentral:rRNA from 1 species
AACGAACGCUGGCGGCGCGCUUAACACAUGCAAGUCGAACGAGAAGGCGUAGCAAUACGCUUGUACAGUGGCGAACGGGUGAGGAAUACAUGGGUAACCUACCCUCGAGUGGGGGAUAACCCGCCGAAAGGCGGGCUAAUACCGCGUACGCUUCCGAUCUUGCGGGAUUGGAAGGAAAGCUGUCCCUUGGGGAUGGCGCUCAAGGAUGGGCUCAUGUCCUAUCAGCUUGUUGGUAGGGUAACGGCCUACCAAGGCGACGACGGGUAGCCGGCCUGAGAGGGCGACCGGCCACACUGGGACUGAGAUACGGCCCAGACUCCUACGGGAGGCAGCAGUGGGGAAUCUUGCGCAAUGGGCGAAAGCCUGACGCAGCGACGCCGCGUGAGGGAUGACGGCCUGGUGUAACU